CAUCAAAAACCAAGUCUCUAAGCAAUGGAUGUCUUGGCUCCUCACACGAUGAAGAACGUGGCAUAAUGUGUUAAGUAACCGGAGUUGCAAACAUCAUGACAGGUUAAUCUUUGAAUGCAAAUUGCGCUAAACUCGAUCUCGGUCGAGAAGCAUGGGUGUGACAGUACUACAUCUUUUAUAAUAAUUCUUAUUCUAAGCGAAUAAGUAAAUAAUAUAUAAGACAAACAACACGUAGUCUGCCAUACGCAGGAAGACCCGCUGAACUGAAGCAUCUCAUUAAGCGGAGGAAAAGAAACUAACUAGGAUUCCCUUAGUAAAGGCGAUCGAAAAGGGAACAGCCCAACGUCUUAAUCCCGCAAGGGAAAUGUAGUCGGUUCACCUAUUGCACUGGUCUAAGUCAGAUGGAAUGCUGCGCGAUUCAGAGUAAAAGCCUCGUAUGACCAACCGCAAGCUUACGAUGGACCGGGGAGAGUCGGAUACUUUGAGAGUAGUGUCU
rnacentral:ncRNA from 1 species